GACGAACGCUGGCGGCGUGCCUAAUACAUGCAAGUAGAACGCUGAAGAGAGGAGCUUACUCUUCUUGGAUGAGUUGCGAACGGGUGAGUAACGCGUAGGUAACCUGCCUUGUAGCGGGGGAUAACUAUUGGAAACGAUAGCUAAUACCGCAUAACAAUGGAUGACACAUGUCAUUUAUUUGAAAGGGGCAAUUGCUCCACUACAAGAUGGACCUGCGUUGUAUUAGCUAGUAGGUGAGGUAAUGGCUCACCUAGGCGACGAUACAUAGCCGACCUGAGAGGGUGAUCGGCCACACUGGGACUGAGACACGGCCCAGACUCCUACGGGAGGCAGCAGUAGGGAAUCUUCGGCAAUAGGGGCAACCCUGACCGAGCAACGCCGCGUGAGUGAAGAAGGUUUUCGGAUCGUAAAGCUCUGUUGUAAGUCAAGAACGGGUGUGAGAGUGGAAAGUUCACACUGUGACGGUAGCUUACCAGAAAGGGACGGCUAACUACGUG
rnacentral:rRNA from 1 species